rnacentral:rRNA from 1 species
GACGGAGGGUGCUAGCGUUGUUCGGAAUCACUGGGCGUAAAGGGCGCGUAGGCGGCCUCAGGUGUCGGAUGUGAAAGCCCGGGGCUCAACCCCGGAGGUGCAUCCGAAACUCUGGGGCUGGAGGUCGGAAGAGGAGGGUGGAAUACCCAGUGUAGAGGUGAAAUUCGUAGAUAUUGGGUGGAACACCGGUGGCGAAAGCGGCUCUCUGGUCCGGACCUGACGCUGAGGCGCGAAAGCGUGGGGAGCAAACAGG